AUUGAACGCUGGCGGCAUGCCUUACACAUGCAAGUCGAACGGCAGCGGGGGAGAAGCUCGCUUUUCCUGCCGGCGAGUGGCGAACGGGUGAGUAAUACAUCGGAACGUGCCCUGUAGUGGGGGAUAACUAGUCGAAAGAUUAGCUAAUACCGCAUACGACCUGAGGGUGAAAGUGGGGGACCGCAAGGCCUCAUGCUAUAGGAGCGGCCGAUGUCUGAUUAGCUAGUUGGUGGGGUAAAGGCCUACCAAGGCGACGAUCAGUAGCUGGUCUGAGAGGACGAUCAGUCACACUGGGACUGAGACACGGCCCAGACUCCUACGGGAGGCAGCAGUGGGGAAUUUUGGACAAUGGGCGAAAGCCUGAUCCAGCAAUGCCGCGUGUGUGAAGAAGGCCUUCGGGUUGUAAAGCACUUUUGUCCGGAAAGAAAUGGCUCUGGUUAAUACCUGGGGUCGAUGACGGUACCGGAAGAAUAAGGACCGGCUAACUACGUGCCAGCAGCCGCGGUAA
rnacentral:rRNA from 1 species